AGGGCUCAUGUAGCAGGGACAUCUGAGUGAGACUGGCCGGCGGCAAAGGGAUGGCCACAGUCUUAGGUCAGGUGAGCAGGAGUGACAGGCGGACUCCAUGUGAGAAGGGAAAGGGCACUAGAAGUUGGGGAGCAGCAGGGACCAGGCCCUCCACCUUUGUGACCUUGUCCUGCUGUUUAAGGAGUCCAGUGCAUUCUGCAUUGGCGAUUACCUAGUUAGGGUGACCAGAGUGAGCAAAUAAAACACAAGAUGCCCAGUUAAAUUUGAAUUUUAGAUAAACAGUAAAUUUUUCAGUUGUACUACACAAAGGAACAUAUUAAAAUUCUUUGCUGUGGAGGCAAAUAUAAAACUAGGUAGAAUAGGCAAGGUGUGGUGGCUCAUGCUUGUAAUCCCAACAUUUGGGAGGUCGAGGUGGGAGGAUGGUUUGAGUCCAGGAGUUUGAGAGCAGCCUUGGCAACAUAGACCCCAUAUCUACAAAAAAAAUUAGCUGGUGUGGUGGCAUGCCCCUGUAGUCCCAGCUACUCAAGAGGCUGAGUCAGGAGGAUUGUUUGAGCCCAGGAGGUGGAGGCUGCAGUGUGCUGUGAUCAUGCCACUGCACUCUAGCCUAUGUGGCAAAGCAAGACCAUGUCUCAAAAAAAAAAAAAAAAAAGAAAGAAAAAGAAUAAGAAAAUAGGAUGUAAGAAGGAAGAGAGAGAGAAGUCACAGUUACCAUUGCUAGUGGGAGGUGACUAGGUAGAAAACUCCAGGUUGGCUAACCUCCCUUCAGCUUUGCCAAGAGACCAGUCUAUGCCAUGGCCAGUGAUGGACCCAGCCCAAGGUGCACACAGGUGAUUGGGUUGGG
rnacentral:lncRNA from 10 species